AGAAUCAACGCUGGCGGCGUGCCUAACACAUGCAAGUCGAACGAGAAAGUGGAGCAAUCCAUGAGUAAAGUGGCGCACGGGUGAGUAACACGUGACUAACCUACCCUCGAGUGGGGAAUAACCUCGGGAAACCGGGCUAACACCGCAUAACAUCUACGGAUCAAAUGCGUAAGCAGCUUGAGGAGGGGGUCGCGGCUGAUUAGCUAGUUGGCGGGUAAUGGCCCACCAAGGCAGUGAUCAGUA
rnacentral:rRNA from 1 species